GUCCAAUACUCAAGCAAUGGCACCCUCUUGCAACUGGUGUUGCAGCAGCAAAGCUUCAUGCUUGUUACGGAAAUGAGCUGAAGCAAUUUGUUUCUGGUAUAACAGAGCUGACUCCUGAUGCUGUACUAGUGCUGAUAGCUUCUGACAAAUUGGAAAAAAAUCUUGUACAGAUGGCCGUUGCAGAUUCCGUGGACAGUGAUGAUGGUGGGAAAGCAAUAAUUCAAGAGAUGACUCCUUAUGAAGCUGAAUCUGUCAUUGCUAACCUGGUAAAAUCAUGGAUAAAGACAAGGGUGGAUAGACUCCAGGAAUGGGUUGAGAGAAAUCUGCAACAAGAGGUCUUUAAUCUCUCGUUCAUUUUAUGACUCCAUGUCUCUGUUUGAUUGGCAUCAUUAGUUAUCGUUAGCUUGUUGAUCACAUCCUGGCACUAAAAUUAAAUUCUCCACAAAAAAUUCUAAUUGUCGAGGGACUAUGUGAUGGUUAGUCAGAUGGCUUAGUCUAUAUGUGAUUCAUUUGGGCUACUUUUCUUGUGCAAGGAUGUCUUGUCUUUGUCUGGUUUCUUCUUUACUUGUUUGAUGUUAGCUGCGUUUUGAUGCACAAAUUUUAUACGUUAUACUCCUAAGCACAUGGGAGUGAGUAAUUGCAUUACAGACAGAUAAAAAGGAACAGCUGCAUGGAUGAAAUUUCCCUUGUGCCUCCACUCCUAGCAUUCAUUAUAAGAAGAUGUAAGUUAGGAUGUUGAUUUAGGACAAGGUAUACGUGGUACCGUCAAAUUGAGUUUUUGUAUCCUCACCAAAUUUGGUUCAGAGUACCCAACUUCCCUUAUCCUGAUCCCCAGGGCAGAAAAAAGGAAAAAAGUAAUGGCUCAUUGUAGGUUCGUUUCUCAAUAGUUAAAGAGAUUCUGUCGUUGAAAAAUGAAACAUCUGGUUAGCCAGAACGGACUUAAGAUUAUUUGCCUCUUGUAACAGGUCUGGAACCCUCGUGCAAACAAAGAGCGAUUUGCUCCCUCUGCAGUGGAGGUUCUUCGCAUUAUUGAUGAAACUUUGGAUGCAUUUUUCCUGUUGCCAAUAGCAACACAUCAAAUUUUGAUUCCUGAUUUGAUGAAUGGUUUGGAUGCCUGCCUCCAGAAUUACAUAAUAAAGUCAAAAUCUGGCUGUGGUAAGUAUCAUAUAGGCUGGAAAAAGGUAUCUGAAUUAACCAAUCAAAUUAUUUCUUUCUGAAUUUAAUUUAUACAUGUAUCUGCAGGAUCUAAAGAUACUUUUCUUCCUCCUCUACCUGCUUUGACAAGAUGUACUGCUGGCUCAAAGUUUGGUGUAUUUAAGAAGAAAGAUAGAUCAUAUAUGGUUCAAGUAAGGAAAUCUCAAGUUGGCUCUAGUGAUGUGGAUGACUACUUUGGUAUACCAAAGCUAUGUGUUCGCAUAAAUACCAUGCAUCUCAUCCGGAAAGAGGUGGAAGUCUUGGAGAAGAGGAUAACCUCUAAUUUGACAAAUAGUGGUUAUGUUCAAGAUAGUAUUGUGACAGUUGGGUCAGAUAAAAUGUUUGAGCUUUCAGUAGCAGCUUGUGUGGAGGGGAUCCAGCAACUUUCUGAAGCAACUGCCUAUAGGAUCAUCUUUCACAAUCUGAACCAUGUUUCUUGGGAUUACCUGUAUGUGGGGCAGGUCUCAUCAGCCAGGAUUGAACCAUUUCUUCAACAGCUAGAGCAGAAUUUAGAAAUUGUAUCAGCAACGGUGCAUGACAGGGUCCGGACUCGCGUAAUUACACAAAUAAUGAAAGCCUCUUUUGAUGGGUUCUUGUUGGUUUUGCUUGCUGGGGGCCCUUCUCGUGCUUUCACUGUGCAGGAUGCUGCAGUAUUAGAUGAGGACUUUAGGUUUCUUAUGGAGCUAUUCUGGUCCGAUGGGGAUGGAUUACCGACUGAUUUAAUAGACAAGUAUUCAGCCGCUUCAAAGGACGUCCUUUCACUUUUUCAUACUGAAACUGUAAAACUUGUUGAGCAAUACAAAAUUGUGACUCUUAAUAGGUAUGGAGCUUCAGACAAUUCCAGGCUUCCACUACCACCAACUUCAGGUCAGUGGAGCGCUGCUGACCCUAACACAAUUCUUCGAGUUUUAUGUCAUCGAAAUGAUGAGGUAGCUACAAAGUUUUUAAAGAAGACCUAUCAUUUCCCAAAGAAGCUGUGAGAGAGAUUUCAAGGAGGUGAUGCAAAUGUAGAAUUUUACCAGGCAUCAGCAGUUCCUCUUAUUUACUUGUAAUGGACCGUUAUUGACAUCGAUCGACCUCACUACUAUAAGAAGCAGAUUUUUCUUGCAUAGAGUAUCCAUGGGAGAUUCUUUCUCAUCAAAGCAAUUACCACAUAGAUCCUAACAGAAUCUUCCAUCGAUAGAAUCAUGGGGCUUGCUCUUUGGUAUAUUGUAUAUAAGAGUUCGGACUUCCAGUUUCAGACAAUAUUUGAAGUCCUCGACUGCUGCUGAGACGACGGAAGAUAACUGCACAAGCUGGUAACACAGUUUUAUCUCCUAAAUCGCAAGUCUAUCACCUUACUGAGCUUUGCCUAGAAAGGAAGUUCAAAUUUGCUGUACAGAGAGAGAUGUUACAACGCAGGUUGGAUUUUGACUUGUUUUUAUAGUCUACAUGUGGAACUUGCUUGAAGAAGAAAUUUUUAUGCCAUAUGCAUUUACUAAGGGUCUGUUUGAUAACAUAAAAAAGUGCUGAAUCUGAAUUGUUUCAGACAUUCAGAUGUUUUGAGUAUUUGAUAAAUGAAAAUCUAUUUGUUGAACUUGUUAAGCAGUGCUGAACCUGUGUGUAUUUUUUUCAGCACAAGAGUCCUAACUGAAUGCUUAAUUCUGAUAAGAAUCAAUAGAAUUACUUCAACUACCUUAUCUUAUCUACCAAAUCUACCCUUGUUUGUUAAUUAUGUUCAAAAUUCUUAUUUAAUUAAACAACCUAAUAUUCUCUAUCUAACGAUUUUUUGUUUCUUUUUCUCCUUUUUUAAUGACUUUCACAUCUUCUCCAUACUCCUCAUAUAAUAUAUUUCAUCUUUUAUAUUAAUUUGAUUUAAAAAUAAAUAUUGUCAUUUUCAUACCUAACAAAUUUAAACUAAUUAAAUCAUAGAUUCUAUUUCUUUUUUGAAUGAAAGGAUAUAAGGGCAAAAUUGUCAAAUUAAACUUAUUAAGCAUUCAGCUAUAAAUAUUUAUCAAACAGUAUAAAUAGGUUUAGCACUAAAAUUCAGACAUUCAUAUAUUUUUUUCAGUGCUUAAAAUUCAGCAAAUUAAUUGUUUCAGUAUUCAGAUUUCAGAAUUCAAACUUCAGAAUUCAGAUUCAGUUUUAUCAAACGUAACCUAAGAAAUAUUCUAGAGUUACUGAGGCUUGCUGAAUAAAUGGACCGACCAAUGCUUGCUAUCAUUCUUUGAUUUUGUGGUUCAAGUCGUUCUCAGUUCAAAGGGUAUGAAUACUGAAUAGUUGAUGAUGAAAUGGAAGACUGCCGUUGUUGUUGGUGUUGCUGUUGUCAUACUCUGUCCCUUCGGCUUAUUUCCUUGUUCUUCCUGUCCUACAAACUUCUUCGUUGAUACUCCCUUUGUAUUGUUAGGGAAAGGUAUUGUUUUGAGUGAAGCUUACAAUUUCUCGCCU
rnacentral:lncRNA from 1 species